AGAGCGAACGCUGGCGGCAGGCUUAACACAUGCAAGUCGAGCGGGCGUAGCAAUACGUCAGCGGCAGACGGGUGAGUAACGCGUGGGAACAUACCUUUUGGUUCGGAACAACCCAGGGAAACUUGGGCUAAAUACCGGAUAAGCCCUUACGGGGAAAGAUUUAUCGCCGAAAGAUUGGCCCGCGUCUGAUUAGCUAGUUGGUGAGGUAACGGCUCACCAAGGCGACGAUCAGUAGCUGGUCUGAGAGGAUGAUCAGCCACAUUGGGACUGAGACACGGCCCAAACUCCUACGGGAGGCAGCAGUGGGGAAUCUUGCGCAAUGGGCGAAAGCCUGACGCAGCGACGCCGCGUGGGGAUGAAGGCCUUCGGGUUGUAAACCCUUUCAGCAGGGACGAAGCGAAGUGACGGUACCUGCAGAAGAAGCGCCGGCUAACUACGUGCCAGCAGCCGC
rnacentral:rRNA from 1 species